rnacentral:miRNA from 1 species
GACUCAUAGAUCUGAAGGCAG